rnacentral:rRNA from 1 species
GAUAAAAGGUACUCCGGGGAUAACAGGCUGAUACCGCCCAAGAGUUCAUAUCGACGGCGGUGUUUGGCACCUCGAUGUCGGCUCAUCACAUCCUGGGGCUGAAGUAGGUCCCAAGGGUAUGGCUGUUCGCCAUUUAAAGUGGUACGCGAGCUGGGUUUAGAACGUCGUGAGACAGUUCGGUCCCUAUCUGCCGUGGGCGUUGGAGAAUUGAGAGGGGCUGCUCCUAGUACGAGAGGACCGGAGUGGACGCAUCACUGGUGUUCCAGUUGUCUCGCCAGAGGCAUUGCUGGGUAGCUACAUGCGGAAGAGAUAAGUGCUGAAAGCAUCUAAGCACGAAACUUGCCUCAAGAUGAGUUCUCCCCGACUAUAAGUCGGUAAGGGUUGUUGGAGACUACGACGUAGAUAGGUCUGGUGUGUAAGUGGUGUGAGCCAUUGAGCUAACAGAUACUAAUUGCCCGAGAGGCUUAACUAUACAACGCUCAAG